rnacentral:rRNA from 1 species
CAGUAGCCGCGGUAACACAGAGGGUGCGAGCGUUAAUCGGAUUUACUGGGCGUAAAGCGUGCGUAGGCGGCUUCUUAAGUCGGAUGUGAAAUCCCUGAGCUUAACUUAGGAAUUGCAUUCGAUACUGGGAAGCUAGAGUAUGGGAGAGGAUGGUAGAAUUCCAGGUGUAGCGGUGAAAUGCGUAGAGAUCUGGAGGAAUACCGAUGGCGAAGGCAGCCAUCUGGCCUAAUACUGACGCUGAGGUACGAAAGCAUGGGGAGCAAACAGGAUUAGAUACCCGUGUAGUCCCUGUCUCUUAUAC